rnacentral:hammerhead_ribozyme from 1 species
AUCCAGCUGUCGAGUCCGAAAUAGGGCGGAACGCUCGUCCUGGGU